rnacentral:rRNA from 1 species
AGAGUUUGAUCCUGGCUCAGAUUGAACGCUGGCGGCAUGCUUUACACAUGCAAGUCGAACGGCAGCGGGGUAGUGCUUGCACUACUGCCGGCGAGUGGCGAACGGGUGAGUAAUAUAUCGGAACGUACCGAGUAAUGGGGGAUAACUAAUCGAAAGAUUAGCUAAUACCGCAUAUUCUCUGAGGAGGAAAGCAGGGGACCUUCGGGCCUUGCGUUAUUCGAGCGGCCGAUAUCUGAUUAGCUAGUUGGUGGGGUAAAGGCCUACCAAGGCGACGAUCAGUAGCGGGUCUGAGAGGAUGAUCCGCCACACUGGGACUGAGACACGGCCCAGACUCCUACGGGAGGCAGCAGUGGGGAAUUUUGGACAAUGGGCGCAAGCCUGAUCCAGCCAUGCCGCGUGUCUGAAGAAGGCCUUCGGGUUGUAAAGGACUUUUGUUAGGGAAGAAAAAGGAGCGGUUAAUACCCGUUUCUGCUGACGGUACCUAAAGAAUAAGCACCGGCUAACUACGUGCCAGCAGCCGCGGUAAUACGUAGGGUGCGAGCGUUAAUCGGAAUUACUGGGCGUAAAGCGGGCGCAGACGGUUACUUAAGCAGGAUGUGAAAUCCCCGGGCUCAACCUGGGAACUGCGUUCUGAACUGGGUAGCUAGAGUAUGUCAGAGGGGGGUAGAAUUCCACGUGUAGCAGUGAAAUGCGUAGAGAUGUGGAGGAAUACCGAUGGCGAAGGCAGCCUCCUGGGAUAACACUGACGUUCAUGCCCGAAAGCGUGGGUAGCAAACAGGAUUAGAUACCCUGGUAGUCCACGCCCUAAACGAUGUCGAUUAGCUGUUGGGCAGCAUGACUGCUUAGUAGCGAAGCUAACGCGUGAAAUCGACCGCCUGGGGAGUACGGUCGCAAGAUUAAAACUCAAAGGAAUUGACGGGGACC